CGCGCGAAUUCACAACCCACACGCAGGCCGUCACGUGCCCCGGGUGCCCCGCGCCGGAAUUUUCGGACGGGGUCAGGGCAUGGGGCCUGCGGCGGAAUAAC
rfam:Candidatus Muproteobacteria bacterium RIFCSPHIGHO2_01_FTLL_65_16 rifcsphigho2_01_scaffold_12601, whole genome shotgun sequence.